GGAGAAAAUCCCAUAACCAUAUUUUCCCUCACAACCAAUGAGAUGUGGUAGACAGGAGAUAGUGAAGUGGGCCAGGGAGGUGACAUCAGUCAGAAGACAACAUGGCACAGGAUAUCUGUCUUCAGACUGGGCCUGAAGGAUGUCACCUAUCAGUAUGUCAGGAAGGGCUCUCGAAUCUUUGUUGAAGGGAAGAUAGAUGAUGGUGAAUACACAGGUAAGAACAAUGUGAGGUGACAGGC